rnacentral:lncRNA from 1 species
CUCAGAGGUUCUCAUCCUUGUCUUGUUGUGGGAAAAAUGUCCUGUUCUUGGAACCUUAAGAAGACCUCCAGACACACGUGGGUGGUAAAGUCUACCAUAAAUCUGGCAUUUUCAAACAAGUCCUCUCUCUACUUUUCAUCAUUGUGUUCAUGAAGCUUCAGUGUAAGUGAAAUAAGUCAGUCACUAAACAGUAAAAACCAAAAAAAAAAAAAUCACCUAUUUACCUGUGUUGGGAUGACUCCCAGGUUUCAGAAUCAAAUAAUUGGACAGAGAAGCACA